rnacentral:rRNA from 1 species
CCUGACUGCUUUCGGAUUGAUACUAGCUCCUGCGAGUCAUUGUUCAAUACAAGGCUUACGGCUCAACUUCCCGUAGUCAACCUACCCUAUGGACGGGGAUAACCUCAGGAAACUGAGAAUAAUACCAUAUACAACAUUAUUCCUGGAAUGGUUUAUGUUUCAAAUAAUUUAUUGCCGUAGGAUGGGACUGCGGUCUAUCCCUUUGUUGGUGAGGUAUUGGCCCACCAAGACUAUUAUACGGACGGGCUCUGAGAGGAGUAGCCCGGAGAUGGGUACUGAGACACGGACCCAGGCCCUAUGGGGCGCAGCAGGCGAAAAAACUUUGCAAUGUGCAAAAGCACGACAAGGUUUUCCGAGUGGUUUCUGCUAAAGGAACCUUUUGUCUUCCUAGAAACACUGUUGAAUAACGGGUGGGCAAGUUCUGGUGUCAGCCGCCGCGGUAAAACCACUUCCUCUCGUGGUCAGGAUGAUUAUUGUUACUAAAGUAUCCGUAGCCUGCUUUGUCAGUUUUCGGUUAAAUCCAUACACUUAACGUAUGGGCUGACGGACAUACUGUGCAGCUAGGCAGUGGGACAGGUAGACGGUACUCGGUACGAAGGCGUAAAAUCCUUUGAUCUAUUGAUGACCACCUGUGGCGAAGGCGAUCUACCACAUCACGUCCGACCGUGAGCGAUGAAAACUCGAUGAGCAAACCGAUAUAGAUACCCGGGCAGACCCAUCUGAAAACUAUGCUUACUCGGUCAUGUACUGGCUUGAUGUCUAUGCAGUGCCGCCCGAAGUCAUUUAUCUUUGCCGCUGAGAAGUACGUACUCUACAGGACACUUAGACGAGUGACGGGAGAGCUCAAUUGGGUGAAGUCUGCUGAUC